rnacentral:rRNA from 1 species
GACGAACGCUGGCGGCGUGCUUAACACAUGCAAGUCGAACGGAAAGGCCCUGCUUUUGUGGGGUGCUCGAGUGGCGAACGGGUGAGUAACACGUGAGUAACCUGCCCUUGACUUUGGGAUAACUUCAGGAAACUGGGGCUAAUGCCGGAUAGGAGCUCCUGCUGCAUGGUGGGGGUUGGAAAGUUUCGGCGGUUGGGGAUGGACUCGCGGCUUAUCAGCUUGUUGGUGGGGUAGUGGCUUACCAAGGCUUUGACGGGUAGCCGGCCUGAGAGGGUGACCGGCCACAUUGGGACUGAGAUACGGCCCAGACUCCUACGGGAGGCAGCAGUGGGGAAGAUUGCACAAUGGGCGGAAGCCUGAUGCAGCAACGCCGCGGGCGGGAUGACGGCCUUCGGGUUGUAAACCGCUUUCGCCUGUGACGAAGCGUGAGUGACGGUAAGGGGUAAAGAAGCACCGGCUAACUACGUGC